rnacentral:sRNA from 2 species
GCUCUGCCGCCGCCCAUUUCCAUCGAGAAACAUGGCAGAGACGGGGGACCCAAUUUUUGCGGGCCUCCUCAAUGUGGAGACCCUUGGGGUUAAGCCGGUGCAGUGAUUUUCAAAGACUGCGGCGGCCGGAUUCUCUAGUCCGUUCCCGACAGCUCACCUCGCAGGCGUAGAGAGGCUCC